CUUCCUACAAUGCACAGGUUUUCUCUCCCUCUCCACAACACCGCCGACGCAACCGUCACCGCCCGGCCUCUGCAUCCUCCCUCUCCUCAUCACAGCAGAUGUCAUCGCAAGCCCCACUAUCCCAAUCUAGAUCCUCGGCCAUAAGCAGCAGCACCACUCCAAACCUAGCCGAGCUCGCAGCGGAAGGGGGAGGCUCACUAUUUUGCCAUGGCGCUGGUCGCGCACCUCCAGGGCUUGCUGCCCCUGCGCCGAGGGAGAGGGGAGAGCUCGCCGGUUCCGGUGAUGGCUAUGUCUUCGCCGUCCAACAUGACGCCGGCAUCACGCUCCUCGACGCCUGCAACACCAUCGUCGCACGCCUCCACCGCCUCCUUGCGUGCCUCGCGGUCGACCUCCUUUUUUCCUCCUAACGUCUGGGCGAGCUCCCGUCGCCUGAGGCCACUCGCGCCCGCGACGACAACCCCCGGCACAACGCUGCUGGUGCGCGAAACUGCCUGCAAACUUGAUAGAACUUCAUAGAUCUGGCAAAACUUUCAUUUGAGUGUACGUCUCCACUGACCACUGCAUGCCUCCAUUGUUACCCUCGUGGUGCAACACUGAAUUGAACUGAACAUGUGCGCAAAGCUGUAAAGGUCGAUUGCAAAGUUGACCUCCAAUACCCUCCAGCUAUGAAGGCAAAGCGAGCGCACUGUCCGUAGUGUGCUCGAGCAGGAAUGUUUCUUCUCUCGUGCUUCACUUCCAGUCCAACCUUGUCUGCCCUCAGUGAUCUCAGUGAUAUGUGUGUUGUAUUCUACAAGCUUAAUGCAUCUGAGGAAAUACAAGACAAACAAAAGCAGCUCUUGAUUUGGGAGCAGGGAUGUGGCAUGCCAAGAACCCAAGCCCAAGCAGAGGUGCUGCUCCAUGCAGAUCCACUUUCUCCUUUGCCUUUCCUUAAGAGGCUCCAAUUGCUUGCUUUGUUGCAAGAAAACGAAGUAGGAAAGGUUAUUUUCUAUGUAGACUUCUUUUUCUUGAGUUCUGAAGUAGAGACUAAUUGAUGAUCAUGCCUUCUGCUGUACCACUGUAACCCAUUGCUAUAAAGUCAGAUUAGUAAGGCUUGACCAAAGAUUAGUAAGGCUAGACCAAAAAUGUGAAAGAUCG
rnacentral:misc_RNA from 1 species